CUCCAUCAUCAGCAUAGAGCACACGCUGGAGAAGCGUGAGGCCACCGGUUUGAAUCCGGUUGGGGACA
rnacentral:tRNA from 1 species